GAUGAACGCUGGCGGCGUGCCUAAUACAUGCAAGUCGAGCGAACGGACGAGAAGCUUGCUUCUCUGAUGUUAGCGGCGGACGGGUGAGUAACACGUGGAUAACCUACCUAUAAGACUGGGAUAACUUCGGGAAACCGGAGCUAAUACCGGAUAAUAUUUUGAACCGCAUGGUUCAAAAGUUAAAUACGGUCUUGCUGUCACUUAUAGAUGGAUCCGCGCUGCAUUAGCUAGUUGGUAAGGUAAAGGCUUACCAAGGCAACGAUGCAUAGCCGACCUGAGAGGGUGAUCGGCCACACUGGAACUGAGACACGGUCCAGACUCCUACGGGAGGCAGCAGUAGGGAAUCUUCCGCAAUGGGCGAAAGCCUGACGGAGCAACGCAGCGUGAGUGAUGAAGGUCUUCGGAUCGUAAAACUCUGUUAUUAGGGAAGAACAUAUGUGUAAGUAACUGUGCACAUCUUGACGGUACCUAAUCAGAAAGCCACGGCUAACUACGUG
rnacentral:rRNA from 1 species